UCCAUGAUGUCUACGUGCCCAGGUGGGGCUACC
rnacentral:sRNA from 1 species